AACUCAUGUUGAGGACAUUUCCGUAGGAGCUCCUUGAACCUCUCCAAUAUCUCAAAUAGCAACUCCAAUUCUGUUUGCAUGAAGGACGGUAUUUCAUUCCUAAGCUU